AAUGCAAUGAUGAGAAGAAAGCACGAAGAGUGUGAGAAGAGCAGUGGGUUAUACCGUGAGCUCUCCAACUUAAACGACUUCUCCUUCCACUGAGCAUU
rfam:Capsella rubella cultivar Monte Gargano unplaced genomic scaffold scaffold_7, whole genome shotgun sequence.